GUACACACCGCCCGUCACACCAUGGGAGUUGGUUCUACCUURAGCCGCCRGGCUAACCCGCAAGGGAGGCAGGCGUCCACGGUCGGGUCAGCGACUGGGGUGAAGUCGUAACAAGGUAGCCGUAGGUGAACCUGCAGAAGGAUCA
rnacentral:rRNA from 1 species